rnacentral:rRNA from 1 species
GCAGGCUUAACACAUGCAAGUCGAACGAUAUAGUGGCAGACGGGUGAGUAACGCGUGGAAACGUGCCUUUCACUACGGAAUAGCUUUUGGAAACGAAAGGUAAUACCGUAUACGCCCUCCGGGGGAAAGAUUUAUCGGUGAAAGAUCGGUCCGCGUUAGAUUAGCUAGUUGGUGAGGUAACGGCUCACCAAGGCUACGAUCUAUAGCUGGUCUGAGAGGAUGAUCAGCCACACUGGAACUGAGACACGGUCCAGACUCCUACGGGAGGCAGCAGUGGGGAAUAUUGCACAAUGGGCGCAAGCCUGAUGCAGCCAUGCCGCGUGAAUGAUGAAGGCCUUAGGGUUGUAAAAUUCUUUCGCCAAGGAUGAUAAUGACAGUACUUGGUAAAGAAGCCCCGGCUAACUUCGUGCCAGCAGCCGCGGUAAUACGAAGGGGGCUAGCGUUGUUCGGAAUUACUGGGCGUAAAGCGCACGUAGGCGGACUUUUAAGUCAGAUGUGAAAUCCCAAGGCUCAACCUUGGAACUGCAUUUGGAACUGGGAGUCUAGAGAUCAGGAGAGGUUAGCGGAAUACCGAGUGUAGAGGUGAAAUUCGUAGAUAUUCGGUGGAACACCAGUGGCGAAGGCGGCUAACUGGACUGAUACUGACGCUGAGGUGCGAAAGUGUGGGGAGCAAACAGGAUUAGAUACCCUGGUAGUCCACACCGUAAACGAUGAGUGCUAGUUGUCUGCAGGCAUGCCUGUAGGUGACGCAGCUAACGCAUUAAGCACUCCGCCUGGGGAGUACGGCCGCAAGGUUAAAACUCAAAGAAAUUGACGGGGGCCCGCACAAGCGGUGGAGCAUGUGGUUUAAUUCGAAGCAACGCGCAGAACCUUACCUACGCUUGACAUGCCCGGACGAUUUCCAGAGAUGGAUCUCUCCCUUCGGGGCCGGUGCACAGGUGCUGCAUGGCUGUCGU